GACAGAGGUGCCAAGCGUUAGGCGGAAUCACUGGGCUUAAAGCGUGUGUAGGCGGCCCGUUAAGUACCUUGUGAAAUCCCACGGCUCAACCGUGGAACUGCUGGGUAUACUGGUCGGGCUUGGGCCACUCAGGGGCAGACGGAACAGGCGGUGGAGCGGUGAAAUGCGUAGAUAUCGCCUGGAACGCCGAAGGUGAAAACAGUCUGCUGGGGGUGUGCCGACGCUGAGACACGAAAGCCAGGGGAGCGAAGGGG
rnacentral:rRNA from 1 species